rnacentral:rRNA from 1 species
AGAGUUUGAUCAUGGCUCAGAUUGAACGCUGGCGGCAGGCCUAACACAUGCAAGUCGAACGGUAACAGGAARCAGCUUGCUGCUUUGCUGACGAGUGGCGGACGGGUGAGUAAUGUCUGGGAAACUGCCUGAUGGAGGGGGAUAACUACUGGAAACGGUAGCUAAUACCGCAUAACGUCGCAAGACCAAAGAGGGGGACCUUCGGGCCUCUUGCCAUCGGAUGUGCCCAGAUGGGAUUAGCUUGUUGGUGGGGUAACGGCUCACCAAGGCGACGAUCCCUAGCUGGUCUGAGAGGAUGACCAGCCACACUGGAACUGAGACACGGUCCAGACUCCUACGGGAGGCAGCAGUGGGGAAUAUUGCACAAUGGGCGCAAGCCUGAUGCAGCCAUGCCGCGUGUAUGAAGAAGGCCUUCGGGUUGUAAAGUACUUUCAGCGGGGAGGAAGGGAGUAAAGUUAAUACCUUURCUCAUUGACGUUACCCGCAGAAGAAGCACCGGCUAACUCCGUGCCAGCAGCCGCGGUAAUACGGAGGGUGCAAGCGUUAAUCGGAAUUACUGGGCGUAAAGCGCACGCAGGCGGUUUGUUAAGUCAGAUGUGAAAUCCCCGGGCUCAACCUGGGAACUGCAUCUGAUACUGGCAAGCUUGAGUCUCGUAGAGGGGGGUAGAAUUCCAGGUGUAGCGGUGAAAUGCGUAGAGAUCUGGAGGAAUACCGGUGGCGAAGGCGGCCCCCUGGACGAAGACUGACGCUCAGGUGCGAAAGCGUGGGGAGCAAACAGGAUUAGAUACCCUGGUAGUCCACGCCGUAAACGAUGUCGACUUGGAGGUUGUGCCCUUGAGGCGUGGCUUCCGGAGCUAACGCGUUAAGUCGACCGCCUGGGGAGUACGGCCGCAAGGUUAAAACUCAAAUGAAUUGACGGGGGCCCGCACAAGCGGUGGAGCAUGUGGUUUAAUUCGAUGCAACGCGAAGAACCUUACCUGGUCUUGACAUCCACGGAAGUUUUCAGAGAUGAGAAUGUGCCUUCGGGAACCGUGAGACAGGUGCUGCGACCUCGCGAGAGCAAGCGGACCUCAUAAAGUGCGUCGUAGUCCGGAUUGGAGUCUGCAACUCGACUCCAUGAAGUCGGAAUCGCUAGUAAUCGUGGAUCAGAAUGCCACGGUGAAUACGUUCCCGGGCCUUGUACACACCGCCCGUCACACCAUGGGAGUGGGUUGCAAAAGAAGUAGGUAGCUUAACCUUCGGGAGGGCGCUUACCACUUUGUGAUUCAUGACUGGGGUGAAGUCGUAACAAGGUAACCGUAGGGGAACCUGCGGUUG